rnacentral:lncRNA from 1 species
GAAUUCUUUGCUUGUUUUCCAAGAUUUUCUUUAAAUUGGUCGCUCAGCCACCACCUGGUCGCUCAACCACCAGUCUCUUGGAAAAAGAAUUAAUUUUUCUCCUCUUUUGAUCAUGCAAGCUUAAAAAGUUAGGAUUAGGAUAUAAAAAUAUCUUUAGUUAAAAUGUACAAAGUUUUGGGGUUUUAAUUAUAAAUAUCUUUGAAAAUCAGUCGAUAAUUGCCUUAAUUGAGUAAGAUAUUUAACUACUUUUUGGCACUUAUCA